GCUUUUUUUUCUUCGGCCUUCCUGUCCGUCCCUUUGCCGCCAACACCCCCCUCGCCCAACGCGGCGGCGGCGGCGGCGCCCUCCGGACCACCCCUGCCAUGGCCCCCGCCCCGCCGGGACCACCGCAGGGCGCCGCGGGGCACCGAGGGCGCCCGCUGCACGGGCAGGACGCCACUACAUACACCACACACCUCCUCUUCCUCCCAGCCCUUCAACGACGCCCACCCGCAUCCUAGCCGGCCGCGCGUCCCAGGGGGCCGAGGGGGCCGAGGGGGCCCGAAGCGGCCCAGGGAGGGGACGGGGCGACAGCCGGAACCUCGGGGCUGGGGCGCGGGGGGGGCGGUGCGGUCGCUGGGGGGAGACGGGUGGGGGCUGGAUCCCGUCCUCGCAGGCCUGCGAGGCCCUCCGUGGGGCCGAGGGGGGGGUGGUUGGGGGCCGGGGGCCGGGGGCCGGGGGCCGGGCCUGCCUGCGGGCCCUCCUCGCCCGCCCCAGGCCCCGCCCCAAGCCCCGCCCCCAGGCCCGCCCCCAGCCCCUAGCAAUUCCCUGGCACCGCCCCCAGCGACCAAGCCACCCAGCCACCCGCAACACCCCCCCCACCUUCGGCCCGGGCCCGCCUGCACCUUCUCUCCGAAGGACAUGCCCUCCGUCCCCCGCGGACCACCGUCCCUUCGGCCCUCAGCCCCGGGGUCCACGCUCCGCGUGCCCAGGACACCAACCAGAUGGCCCGACCGCCGGGGGCCUCAGGCCCCCCGUUGGCGCCGGGCUCCGCGCUCCGUGACCCCGCGACAGCCAAGACCACGGCGACGCGGGGGCGGCCGGCACCCAGGCCCAAAGAGCCGCUCGGGACACAGCAAGACACACCACAGACACUCGCUCCGCGCCUGGGCCAGGGCGCCGCGCACGCACGCAGGCACACGGCCCCGCGGCGGUUCGGCUGAUGGGCAGGAAUGGGAGCGGAACGGCAUCCCUGACACCGUGGCUGCGGGGCCUGCGGCUGCCAGGGCUCCUGACGCAGCUCCAGGGCCUGCGCCCCUCCGGCGGGGUGGCUGCCUCGCCCCCACAGGCCGUGUGGCCCAGCUCCGAGUGCCUGUGUCCUCCUUCCGUCUGUCUGUGUGUGUGUGUGUCGUGGGCACCUGUGUCUGUGUCCCUGCCUGUGCGACGAUGGGGUCCGGCGGCGCGGGCGGCCCCGGCUUGGCUUUGAGCCAGGCGGGCUGA
rnacentral:lncRNA from 12 species